UUCUGGUUGUUUUAAUUGCAGAUUCUUUCUACAAAUACAGCAGAAACCAGCAUAACAGUCAAUGAUGUGGUAUUUGUUAUUGGCUCAGGCAAGGUGAAAGAGAAGUCUUUUGAUGCACUGAGUUGUGUUACAAUGCUGAAAAUGGUGUGGAUUUCAAAAGCCAGUGCUAUCUAGAGAAAAGGCAGCUAUUAACAAGUCAUCUACAUUCUGAAUCAGGACAGCCCCUUCUCUCAAUUGAAAACCUGUAAGUAACUGCUCCAGUGCCUGGCCAAAUAAAUUAGGGGACUCUGUAAACCCUUGUGGGAGUACCCUGUGGGUGUCUGGGUCUUCC